rnacentral:rRNA from 1 species
GAAAUCCUACGGGACGCAGCAGUGAGGAAUAUUGGUCAAUGGUCGGGAGACUGAACCAGCCACGCCGCGUGAGGGAUGAAGGUACAGAGUAUCGUAAACCUCUUUUGUCAGGGAACAAAGGCGGGGACGUGUCCCCGGAUGAGUGUACCUGAAGAAAAAGCAUCGGCUAACUCCGUGCCAGCAGCCGCGGUAAUACGGAGGAUGCGCGCGUUAUCCGGAUUUAUUGGGUUUAAAGGGUGCGCAGGCGGUCUGUUAAGUCAGCGGU